rnacentral:ncRNA from 2 species
AGUCGUCCACGCGGGAGCGCACGCCAAGAGCGCUGAGAGGACGGCUGACGCGCCGUCGACCGUACGAACCUGACCGGGUAAUGCCGGCGUAGGGAGAUGCCAUGAGUGACGU